UGUUUUACAUUUGACUUUUAGUUUUUCUUUUUCUUUAAUGGCAGAAUCGAACCCAACAAGGCAGAUCACAACCACAGUAUGAUCAACAUGCUGUAACUGAAGCACUUUAUGUCCCUGGUGUCUGGAGUAAUCCCUGAAGGAGAUUUGAGGCGGGAUCAGACUCAGAGCCAGAUCCAGCAGUCAGGAAGUCCUCCCGUGGAACAGGAAAUGGCUGGAGCUCUUGCUUGACAUAUUUCAACAAAACUCUUCUCAAUGCUGCAACAGCUGCGCGACGGCCUUGAUACGAUCUUACCAAAGUCAUGCAGGAGUGUCACAAUCUCUUCGUCGUGACA